rnacentral:tmRNA from 1 species
GGGGCUGAUUCUGGAUUCGACGGGAUUUGCGAAACCCAAGGUGCAUGCCGAGGGGCGGUUGGCCUCGUAAAAAGCCGCAAAAAAAUAGUCGCAAACGACGAAAACUACGCUUUAGCAGCUUAAUAACCUGCUUAGAGCCCUCUCUCCCUAGCCUCCGCUCUUAGGACGGGGAUCAAGAGAGGUCAAACCCAAAAGAGAUCGCGCGGAUGCCCUGCCUGGGGUUGAAGCGUUAAAACGAAUCAGGCUAGUCUGGUAGUGGCGUGUCCGUCCGCAGGUGCCAGGCGAAUGUAAAGACUGACUAAGCAUGUAGUACCGAGGAUGUAGGAAUUUCGGACGCGGGUUCAACUCCCGCCAG